UGCAGUUGACGAGAAUCUCACUUCGGUGAGAGGAAAGUGGCGAAAGGGUGAGUAACGCGUGAAUAAUCUGCCCCUAAGUUUGGAACAACAGUUGGAAACGACUGCUAAAACCGGAUGUGAAUAUAAGAUCGCAUGAUCUAAUAUUUAAAGGUUACGCUUAGGGAUGAGUUCGCGUGCCAUUAUGUUAGUUGGUAAGGUAACGGCUUACCAAGACUAUGACGGCUAGGUGGUCUGAGAGGACGAUCACCCACACUGGGACUGAGACACUGCCCAGACUCCUGCGGGAGGCUGCAGUCGAGAAUCUUCCGCAAUGCGCGAAAGCGUGACGGAGCAAUGCCGCGUGAUCGAAGACGGCCUUCGGGUUGUAAAGAUCUGUCAGGGGGGAAAAACGAUGAUGGUACCCCCAGAGGAAGCCACGGCUAACUACGUGCCAGCAGCCGCGGUAAUACGUAGGUGGCGAGCAUUAUUCGGAAUUACUGGGCGUAAAGGGUCCGCAGGUGGUUUACUAAGUCAGAUGUGAAAUUUCAGUGCUCAACACUGAACCUGCAUUUGAAACUGGUAGACUAGAGUAUGUGAGAGGUAAGCGGAAUUUGUGGUGUAGCGGUGGAAUGCGUAGAUAUCACAAGGAAGACCAAAGGCGAAGGCAGCUUACUGGCACAAUACUGACACUCAUGGACGAAGGCUAAGGUAGCGAAAAAGGAUUAGAUACCCUUGUAGUCUUAGCAGUAAACGUUGUAC
rnacentral:rRNA from 1 species